AAUUUUGGACAAUGGGGGCAACCCUGAUCCAGCCACUUCGCGUGUGUGAUGAAGGUCUUCGGAUCGUAAAGCUCUGUCCUUGGGGAAGAAGGUCUUCGGACUUGACGGUACUCAUGCAGGAAGCCCCGGCUAACUACGUGCCAGCAGCCGCGGUAAUACGUAGGGGGCAAGCGUUGUCCGGAAUUAUUGGGCGUAAAGGGUGCGUAGGCGGCCUUUUAAGGCAGAUGUGAAAGCCCACGGCUUAACCGUGGGACUGCAUUUGAAACUGGAGGGCUUGAGUAUCGGAGAGGGUAGUGGAAUUCCCAGUGUAGCGGUGGAAUGCGUAGAUAUUGGGAGGAACACCAGUGGCGAAGGCGACUACCUGGACGAAAACUGACGCUGAGGCACGAAAGCAUGGGGAGCAAACA
rnacentral:rRNA from 1 species